AAUAUAAGUUAGCAUAUAACUUUUUUUUAUUUCCUUGAAAGCAAAUGCGAACCACAUCAGGAAAUUAUCUUAUUAUAUAUCAUCUGAUGGAUGUAAACACAAACAAAACAGUAAAUUAAUUAAACAUCAUGGACAACAUAGUUUUGUGUAUCCUCUUACUGCCCGCGUUAUGGUUCAUUGCAGGAAUUUCGGGGAUAAUUCAAUAUGCAAAAAUAAAUAAAAGUGUUGUAUUAGUUUGUCAACAGGAGGAAGGGGCAACAAAUGUGCGAUGGCGCCGAAAUAACAGUAUUCUGACUGAUGAUCUCGAGAUUAACAGUAAAGAACGAAGACACAAAGCGUUCAACAUAGACUUUGAUAAAGAUGCAAGGCAGUACAAACUUCGGAUAGCUAAUGUAACUGUAGAUGAUUUUGGGGUGUAUCUAUGUGAAAUGCAAAUAAACAACGCACCAUUAAAUCACCAAAUAACACUAUCAA